rnacentral:misc_RNA from 1 species
UUCAAGCAACAUUGAAAUUUCUAUUAAGAAAAUAGAAAUUUACAUUUUUAUACGAUGUUAACACUGCUCCAUGUACUGUACUGAUAUUCAGUAGUCAUUCACUUACUAUACACAUACGUGACAAAUACACCUUUUUCUAAGAGACAGAGCAUGUAAAAUUAAACUAUAUACUCGUGGCGAAUUAAUUAACAAGCUUAUCAAUGAGAGCUAACGCGUUGCUAGUUAGCUGACCAAUUCUUUCAAUAUAGCUCGUUAUAGGGUCCUUAAAUUUCCCAUUCAUAGCAUUCCCUUCAAACCCAUGCCAUCCAUACCAGUAUCCUCAUCCGUCAAUGCAGCACUUACCCAUGUUUGUAUAUUGCUCAUCUUCAUCUCAAAAUCAGGGCCUUCAAUGUCCCUCAUCCCCACCAGAGCUUGCUGUAGUUAAUCAAUUGAAUCUUUCAUGUUCUCCACACGGUCUCUUAUGGCCCUGGCUUCUUUAGGCUUUAAGUUGUUCGCUUUCAGCAAAUUUGGUACAAUGUUUGAGGUGGAUUCAGCACUUUCCAGGGAGACGUUGAGAGCUGCAUUGGCUAGUUGUGUAGGGUCAUCCUGGAUGGUGCUUGAAUAAGCUGAGAGAGUUUGGUAACAUAGCUCUGGAUACCUUGUAACCUUACAUGAAUUUUAAUAAAUUCAUCGCUAGAUUCUAAUCUGGGUUCAUACUUUGCUGCCCAUGAAUUUGCAAUGCGAAAGGAAGCUAUAGAGAUGAUGAUCACAGACAAGGAUGCCAUACCUAGCUGUCUA